CUAGCGAGGUGAAAGGUGCCCGUACCGCAAACCGACACAGGUAGGCGAGGAGAGAAUCCUAAGGUGAGCGAGUGAACUCUCGUUAAGGAACUCGGCAAAAUGACCCCGUAACUUCGGGAGAAGGGGUGCUCUUUGGGGUGCAUAGCCCUGAGGAGCCGCAGUGAAUAGGCCCAGGCGACUGUUUAGCAAAAACACAGGUCUCUGCGAAGCCGCAAGGCGAAGUAUAGGGGCUGACGCCUGCCCGGUGCUGGAAGGUUAAGAGGAGGGGUUAGCUCACGCGAAGCUCUGAAUUGAAGCCCCAGUAAACGGCGGCCGUAACUAUAACGGUCCUAAGGUAGCGAAAUUCCUUGUCGGGUAAGUUCCGACCCGCACGAAAGGCGUAACGAUCUGGGCACUGUCUCAACGAGAGACUCGGUGAAAUUAUAGUACCUGUGAAGAUGCAGGUUACCCGCGACAGGACGGAAAGACCCCGUGGAGCUUUACUGCAGCCUGAUAUUGAAUUUCGGCACAGCUUGUACAGGAUAGGUAGGAGCCUUUGAACCCGGAGCGCCAGCUUCGGGGGAGGCGUCGGUGGGAUACUACCCUGGCUGUGUUGAACUUCUAACCCGCACCCGUGAUCCGGGUGGGAGACAGUGUCAGGCGGGCAGUUUGACUGGGGCGGUCGCCUCCUAAAAAGUAACGGAGGCGCCCAAAGGUUCCCUCAGAAUGGUUGGAAAUCAUUCGCAGAGUGUAAAGGCACAAGGGAGCUUGACUGCGAGACCUACAAGUCGAGCAGGGACGAAAGUCGGGCUUAGUGAUCCGGUGGUUCCGCAUGGAAGGGCCAUCGCUCAACGGAUAAAAGCUACCCCGGGGAUAACAGGCUUAUCUCCCCCAAGAGUCCACAUCGACGGGGAGGUUUGGCACCUCGAUGUCGGCUCAUCGCAUCCUGGGGCUGUAGUCGGUCCCAAGGGUUGGGCUGUUCGCCCAUUAAAGCGGUACGCGAGCUGGGUUCAGAACGUCGUGAGACAGUUCGGUCCCUAUCCGUCGCGGGCGCAGGAAAUUUGAGAGGAGCUGUCCUUAGUACGAGAGGACCGGGAUGGACGCACCGCUGGUGUACCAGUUGUCUUGCCAAAGGCAUCGCUGGGUAGCUAUGUGCGGACGGGAUAAGUGCUGAAAGCAUCUAAGCAUGAAGCCCCCCUCAAGAUGAGAUUUCCCAUAGCGCAAGCUAGUAAGAUCCCUGAAAGAUGAUCAGGUAGAUAGGUUCGAGGUGGAAGCGUGGCGACACGUGGAGCUGACGAAUACUAAUCGAUCGAGGACUU
rnacentral:rRNA from 1 species